rnacentral:rRNA from 1 species
AUUGAACGCCGGCGGCAUGCCUUACACAUGCAAGUCGAACGGCAGCACGGGUGCUUGCACCUGGUGGCGAGUGGCGAACGGGUGAGUAAUAUAUCGGAACGUACCUUAUUGUGGGGGAUAACGCAGCGAAAGCUGUGCUAAUACCGCAUAAUCCCUAAGGGGGAAAGCGGGGGACCGUAAGGCCUCGCGCAAUUAGAGCGGCCGACACCUGAUUAGCUAGUUGGGGAGGUAAAGGCUCACCAAGGCAACGAUCAGUAGCUGGUCUGAGAGGACGAUCAGCCACACUGGGACUGAGACACGGCCCAGACUCCUACGGGAGGCAGCAGUGGGGAAUUUUGGACAAUGGGGGCAACCCUAAUCCAGCAAUGCCGCGUGAGUGAAGAAGGCCUUCGGGUUGUAAAGCUCUUUUGUCAGGGAAGAAACAGCAGCUCUAACACAAUAUGCGAAUGACGGUACCUGAGGAAUAAGCACCGGCUAACUACGUGCCAGCAGCCGCAGUAA